UACGACUACAUAUCAGGCAUAUCAAUAAGCGGAGGAAAAGAAACUAACAAGGAUUCCCUUAGUAACGGCGAGUGAAGCGGGAAGAGCUCAAAUUUGAAAUCUUCAAGGUUCUACCUUGACGAAUUGUAGUUUGAAAGAAGUGUUUUCUGUUAGAGGAGUUCGGUAAAAGUUCUUUGGAAUAGGACAUCAUAGAGGGUGAGAAUCCCGUAUUUGACCGUUAUCUUUCCUAGCUGUGUGAUACACUCUUCAAAGAGUCGGAUUGUUUGGGAAUGCAGUCCAAAAUGGGUGGUAAAUUUCAUCUAAAGCUAAAUAUUGGCGAGAGACCGAUAGCGAACAAGUACCGUGAGGGAAAGAUGAAAAGAACUUUGAAAAGAGAGUUAAACAGUACGUGAAAUUGUCAAAAGGGAAGCGUUUGACACCAGUGUUGUUUUUCUCGAAAAUCAAUUAAGAAGUGGCUUGAUUUUGUGUUGUAUUGACCUUAUCAGCUUUCUUCACUCUUUUUCGAGUCUUUCUUAAUGCACUUUUCGGUUAACAAGUCAACAUCAAUUUCUUUUGUUGUAAAAGGGUAUUUGGAAGGUGGCUUUCUUUUCGGAGAAAGUGUUUAUAGCCUUAUACCUCUACAAUCGGAGAGAUUGAGGUCUGCAGCGUAGAUCCUUCGGGGCUAGAUACACUUGUGCUAAGUUAUAGCUUUUCAUAGACAACUUGUUGACUAUGUUUAGUCAUGUAGCUUACCCGCUUGUGCCUAUUUUACCUACGCUUAGGAUGUUGAUCUACAGAGCGAGAGU
rnacentral:rRNA from 1 species